UACGUAGGCAGCGAGCGUUGUUCGGAAUUACUGGGCGUAAAGAGUGUGUAGGCGGUGCUCCCAGUCUGUUGUGAAAUCUCCCGGCUUAACUGGGGGGGUGCAGCGGAAACUAGAGCGCUAGAGGGUGGGAGAGGUAAGCGGAAUUCCUGGUGUAGCGGUGAAAUGCGUAGAUAUCAGGAGGAACACCUGUGGUGUAGACAGCUUACUGGACCACUUCUGACGCUGAGACACGAAAGCGUGGGUAGCAAACAGG
rnacentral:rRNA from 1 species